rnacentral:rRNA from 1 species
GAUGAACGCUGGCGGCGUGCCUAAUACAUGCAAGUCGAGCGAACAGACGAGGAGCUUGCUCCUCUGACGUUAGCGGCGGACGGGUGAGUAACACGUGGAUAACCUACCUAUAAGACUGGGAUAACUUCGGGAAACCGGAGCUAAUACCGGAUAAUAUAUUGAACCGCAUGGUUCAAUAGUGAAAGACGGUUUUGCUGUCACUUAUAGAUGGAUCCGCGCCGCAUUAGCUAGUUGGUAAGGUAACGGCUUACCAAGGCAACGAUGCGUAGCCGACCUGAGAGGGUGAUCGGCCACACUGGAACUGAGACACGGUCCAGACUCCUACGGGAGGCAGCAGUAGGGAAUCUUCCGCUAAGGGCGAAAGCCUGACGGAGCAACGCCGCGUGAGUGAUGAAGGUCUUCGGAUCGUAAAACUCUGUUAUUAGGGAAGAACAAAUGUGUAAGUAACUAUGCACGUCUUGACGGUACCUAAUCAGAAAGCCACGGCUAACUACGUG